rnacentral:rRNA from 1 species
AACGAUGGGUGCUAGUUGUCAGGCAGCAUGCUGUUUGGUGACGCAGCUAACGCGUUAAGCACCCCGCCUGGGGACUACGGUCGCAAGACUAAAACUCAAAGGAAUUGACGGGGGCCCGCACAAGCGGUGGAGCAUGUGGUUUAAUUCGAGGCAACGCGAAGAACCUUACCAGCUUUUGACAUCCCGGUCGCGGUUACCAGAGAUGGUUUCCUUCAGUUCGGCUGGACCGGUGACAGGUGCUGCAUGGUUGUCGUCAGCUCGUGUCGUGAGAUGUUGGGUUAAGUCCCGCAACGAGCGCAACCCUCGCCUUUAGUUGCCAGCAUUAAGUUGGGCACUCUAGAGGGACUGCCGGUGAUAAGCCGGAGGAAGGUGGGGAUGACGUCAAAUCAUCAUGGCCCUUACGGGCUGGGCUACACACGUGCUACAAUGGCGGUGACAGUGAGCAGCCACUCAGCAAUGGGGAGCUAAUCUCUAAAAGCCGUCUCAGUUCGGAUUGUUCCCUGCAACUCGAGAGCAUGAAGUUGGAAUCGCUAGUAAUCGUGGAUCAGCAUGCCACGGUGAAUACGUUCCCGGGCCUUGUACACACCGCCCGUCACACCAUGGGAGUUGGUUUUACCCGAAGACUGUGUGCUAACUUUUAGAGGCAGCAGGCCACGGUAAGGUCAGCGACUGGGGUGAAGUCGUAACAAGGUAACCGUA